GCCAGGUGCAGGGGUGCACACCUGUAAUCUCAGUAGCCUGGGAGGCUGAAGCAGGAGGAUUCUGAGUUCAAAGACAGCCUCAGCAAAAGUGAGGUGCUAAAAAAACUCAGUGAGACCCUGUUUCUA
rnacentral:sRNA from 1 species